GGCUCGGCGGACCUAUGUCAUAUCGGAGAGCAACAUGGAGCUGUUCCGAGGAGAACACGUCGAUAAACCGAGGACAGUGAGGUGUUUCGGGAACCAGACCUGAUGUGGACGGACCAAGACAGGAUCCGUGUGAUCUGACUCUGCCCCAUCCGCCGCCCCCCCACACACACACACACACACACACAACCACACAGACUGGGACUGACAGAUGGACUUCAGUGACCUGCAGGAGAUGAGGCCGUGAUGUUAUCAGUGAUGUCAGAACUGCAAGAUGAUGGUGAGUGACUGAAGGAUGUCUCCUGGCUGCAGUCUGAGGACAGCUGGUGAGUGUCCGAGCUCCGUCCCAGUUCACUGCACUCGUUUCCAGUCUGGUCUGCUCAUACUGGGACAAGGACUGACGUAACUUCAGAGACCAGGAAGCAGACUUGUCUCAAUCAACAUGGAGUCUUAAUGAUUUCACUGUUUAACUCUGACCCCACAGGUCUGCUCAUGUAAACUUUGUGUUUUAAUAAAGGUUGAUGUUAUUAACUGUU